rnacentral:siRNA from 1 species
UAUUCCUGCAAUCCAAGAUCCGAA